rnacentral:misc_RNA from 1 species
GUGAAUCAUCGAAUCUUUGAACGCAAAUUGCACUCUCUGGUAUUACGGAGAGUAUGUCUAUUUGAGGGUAAUAUGAAAUAAUAUAAAUUCUAAGAUGUCGCGGAAUUUAAAAUGGGUUGUGCAUUUUUUGAGGUUGCCUAAAAUACAAGACAAGCUCAUUACCUUGGGUUGCGUGAUAGUUUCAGAUACUUAGUGACUUAACCAGGAAUCAUCGGGAGUGUUAUGAAUUUUGAAAGAGAUAUAAAAUUCCAUAGAUUUAUCUCAUGCGAA